rnacentral:rRNA from 1 species
ACGAACGCUGGCGGCGUGCCUAAUACAUGCAAGUCGAACGCUUCUUUUUCCACCGGAGCUUGCUCCACCGGAAAAAGAGGAGUGGCGAACGGGUGAGUAACACGUGGGUAACCUGCCCAUCAGAAGGGGAUAACACUUGGAAACAGGUGCUAAUACCGUAUAACAAUCGAAACCGCAUGGUUUUGAUUUGAAAGGCGCUUUCGGGUGUCGCUGAUGGAUGGACCCGCGGUGCAUUAGCUAGUUGGUGAGGUAACGGCUCACCAAGGCGACGAUGCAUAGCCGACCUGAGAGGGUGAUCGGCCACAUUGGGACUGAGACACGGCCCAAACUCCUACGGGAGGCAGCAGUAGGGAAUCUUCGGCAAUGGACGAAAGUCUGACCGAGCAACGCCGCGUGAGUGAAGAAGGUUUUCGGAUCGUAAAACUCUGUUGUUAGAGAAGAACAAGGAUGAGAGUAACUGUUCAUCCCUUGACGGUAUCUAACCAGAAAGCCACGGCUAACUACGUGCCAGCAGCCGCGGUAAUACGUAGGUGGCAAGCGUUGUCCGGAUUUAUUGGGCGUAAAGCGAGCGCAGGCGGUUUCUUAAGUCUGAUGUGAAAGCCCCCGGCUCAACCGGGGAGGGUCAUUGGAAACUGGGAGACUUGAGUGCAGAAGAGGAGAGUGGAAUUCCAUGUGUAGCGGUGAAAUGCGUAGAUAUAUGGAGGAACACCAGUGGCGAAGGCGGCUCUCUGGUCUGUAACUGACGCUGAGGCUCGAAAGCGUGGGGAGCAAACAGGAUUAGAUACCCUGGUAGUCCACGCCGUAAACGAUGAGUGCUAAGUGUUGGAGGGUUUCCGCCCUUCAGUGCUGCAGCUAACGCAUUAAGCACUCCGCCUGGGGAGUACGACCGCAAGGUUGAAACUCAAAGGAAUUGACGGGGGCCCGCACAAGCGGUGGAGCAUGUGGUUUAAUUCGAAGCAACGCGAAGAACCUUACCAGGUCUUGACAUCCUUUGACCACUCUAGAGAUAGAGCUUCCCCUUCGGGGGCAAAGUGACAGGUGGUGCAUGGUUGUCGUCAGCUCGUGUCGUGAGAUGUUGGGUUAAGUCCCGCAACGAGCGCAACCCUUAUUGUUAGUUGCCAUCAUUUAGUUGGGCACUCUAGCAAGACUGCCGGUGACAAACCGGAGGAAGGUGGGGAUGACGUCAAAUCAUCAUGCCCCUUAUGACCUGGGCUAUACACGUGCUACAAUGGGAAGUACAACGAGUCGCAAAGUCGCGAGGCUAAGCUAAUCUCUUAAAGCUUCUCUCAGUUCGGAUUGUAGGCUGCAACUCGCCUACAUGAAGCCGGAAUCGCUAGUAAUCGCGGAUCAGCACGCCGCGGUGAAUACGUUCCCGGGCCUUGUACACACCGCCCGUCACACCACGAGAGUUUGUAACACCCGAAGUCGGUGAGGUAACCUUUUGGAGCCAGCCGCCUAAGGUGGGAUAGAUGAUUGGGGUG